UGUGUUUGGGAGUUGGGGGCGGGGGGGCGGGUGGAUUCCAGCUGUCUUCCCCUCGUGGACACUGUGACAUA
rnacentral:pre_miRNA from 1 species